GGCGUUCGUCCCUCCUACAACGUCCGCAGCCUGCGCCGCGCGGUGGCUCUGGACUAGGCCUUUUCCUCUGGGUUGUGGAUCCUCUUCUCUAUGACUCCGUCCGAUCCCUAGUCUUUCUUCCAAAACAUCAUGAAACCCCCCCUCCAGGAGCCUUUCAUGCUUCUCUGUGUCUCAGUUUCCUCUUCUAUAACGUGGACGUAACAUGUUAUUCCCUCCAUAGCAGUGCUCCAUAUGUUUAGUUAUGAUUGUUGCUAUUAUUAAUAUUAUUGCUCUAUUAAUCCUGCUUGGCAGGACCUCUAGAUGACUUAAACAUCUCUGGCUUCACUGAUGGGGACACACACCAGCUCAGAGAGGUCAAGGGACUUGGCUCAAGUUUUAAAAAAUGAGUCAGAGGCCCGCUGGAUUGUAUUUUUCAUUCAUUCAUUCAUUCAACAAAUACUGAGCACCUAGCUGGGAAUACAGUGGCCAACAAGAAGUCCCUGCUCUCCUGGAGCUGACUUUUCAGCUCUGAAACUCUGAGCUCCUCUCCACCGUUCCAGCACUGGACACCAGGCCUGUUACCCAGAAGGUGGGUGCUCAGUAAAUGCCCACUGGUUGGAAAGAGUGCAGACUUCACAUCCACCCAUCUUUGGCUCGUGGAGGGCUCAGUGAGCGUGUGAGAAAAUGAAGCAACUUGGCAGAAUGAACGUGCCUGUUAAUCUGCAACCCAGAGAAGAUGUAAAGUCCUCUUGGGGCCAUGUGCGGUGGCUCACGCCUGUAAUCCCAGCACUUUGGGAGGCUGAAGCUGGUGGACCACUUGAGGUCAGGAGUUUGAGACCAGCCUGGGUAACAUGGCAAAACCUUAUCCCUAAAAAUAUACAAAAAAAUGGCUGGGCGCGGUGGCUCACGCCUGUAAUCCCAGCACUUUGGGAGGCUGAGGCGGGCAAAUCACCCGAGGUCAGGAGUUCAAGACCAGCCUGGCCAACAUGGUGAACCCUGUCUCUACUAAAAAUACAAAAAUUAUCUGGCUGUGAUGGCAGGCGCCUGUAAUCCCAGCUACUCUGGAGGUUGAGGCAGAAGAAUCGCUUGAACCUGGGAGGUGGAGGUUGCAGUGAGCAGAAUCAUAUCACUGCACUCCAGCCUGGGUGACAGAGCUGAAUAAAUAAAAUUAUGUAUUCAGUGGAAGGCUGAUCAAGGACUCAAAAGAAUGCAAUCUUUUGUCUCCUAUCUACUUUUUUUUUUUUUGAGACAGAGUCUCACUCUGUCGCCCAGGCUGGAGUGCAGUGGCACAAUCUCGGCUCACUGCAACCUCUGCCUCUGAGGUUCAAGUGAUUCCCCUGCCUCAGCCUCCCAGGUAGCUGGGACUAUAGGCAUGCCCCACCAUGUCCGGCUAAUUUUUGUUGUUGUUGUAUUUUAGUAGAGACGGGGUUUCACCAUGUUGGCCAGGAUGGUCUGGAUCUCCUGACCUCAUGAUCCGCCCACCUCAGCCUUCCAAAGUGCUGGGAUUAUAGGCAUGAGCCACUGCACCUGGCCUUGUCUCUUAUGUAUUUCUAACCUGGAAGCCCCUGCUUCAAGCUGUCCUGUCUUACCAGACCAAACCAAUGUACAUCUUACACAUAUUGAUUGAGGUCUCAUGUCUCCCU
rnacentral:lncRNA from 10 species